GCCAGGAGUGGUGGCGGGCGCCUGUAAUCCCAGCUACUCAGGGGGCUGAGGCAGGAGAAUUGCUUGAACCCAGGAGGCCGAGAUUGCAGUGAGCCGAGAUCUCACCACUGCACUCCAGCCUGGGUGACAGAGCAAGACUCUGUCUCAA
rfam:Nomascus leucogenys chromosome 10, whole genome shotgun sequence.